rnacentral:pre_miRNA from 1 species
CAGAGUGUAACAGUCUGGCAGUGCAUGUUAGCUGGCUGUUGUCUCUGAUGUGUCAACAGCUGCUAGCUGCACUCCAUAUUGUUUCAUUCAAA